AUGGAUUUCCCCUUCCUUUUUCAGAGCGCUUGGCUCCAGGACCUUAAGGAUGAUUUCCUCAUAUCCUUAUAUUCUUGCCUUAGCCCUAAGCCUGUCAGUGCAGUGGAUCCAGCAUACUCCAUUCUGUUCUUUUCCAAGUACGAUGCCAACAAGCUUGUAGCUGCCCUGACUGCCUUCAGCCRGCGGUUUUCUCAUGUGCCUCUCUCGCAAAACUGGAGCAUGAUCUUCAUUAAUGGCCUGUGGGAGAAGAUGUUACAAGUACCUGACAUUGACAGCCCACCCGUUUUGUUUCGAUGGGUCCAUGAGGGGCUUCAGCCAUUCCUGGUGAAGCCCACGGUCUUUGCUUGCCUCCAUGCCAAAAAAGUGUUGUGCAAGACUUUUCAGGAGAUAGUUACUGCCCUGAACGGCAUCUAUUCUAAMCUUCCAGUAGAAGAACAGAGGAAUCUUUACAAUGGGAUCAAGUACUACCUCAUCCAGGAUGGGUCAAAACAGAAAUGCUACAAUGCAGCCAUUCCAGGUUUGAAUUCCACUGCUUGGUUUGAAAAUUAUCUGGGAUCCUUUAUGGAGCAUGCUACUGUUGGAGACUUGCAGCUUUUUGCUGAUGAAUCAACACUUCAGCAGUUUGCCAGGGAUCCGGCCAAUAUACAAAUGGUCAGCAACCUCACUUUGCUGCGGACAACAGCCGUGUAUUACACCUUGCUGCUGACCUCUGGGCCUAGCUUCCCCUUAUCGAGUCUCCCAGACAGGUUUGUUUGCUACCUGAGCCCCUCCGCUGUGAGCAGCCUGAGCAGAGAUGAGGCUUUGAGCUUGGCCCAGAGGAUCAGUAAGAACUGCCCCAUGAACAUGACACACACAGGAGCAAAUAAGGAGAGACCUCACUCUUCAUCCCUGACAACGGAGGAGCUGCAGGUUGCAUCCUCUUUGGUGAGAAAGUUUGAACAUUUCCCGCCUGCAAUCCUGCAUGCAUUGGGCCAGGCUGCCGUUGGGCUGUCCGUAUCCCAGAUUGAGAAUAGCAUCAGUGGUAAGGACMUUGAAGCAUCUCUUUCUGCCCUGAGUGAAGUUCAUGGCUGGAACACUGAGCAGUCCAGCACUAUUGUCAACAAAUUGCUCAGCUCUGGCUAUCAGGUACAAAURAUAAGGUCCACAUAUGCACCUCACACCUGGUAUUGCUGUAGCUGCAAAAAUAAUGAUGUAUGGCCUGUAACGUCCUCUUGCCUGUAUGCGUUGCCUUUCAGAUCACAGAUGGCCAGAGCCUGGCRAAGCUAG
rnacentral:lncRNA from 1 species